CGAACGUUAGCGGCGCGCCUAACACAUGCAAGUCGCACGAGAAAGGGAGCAAUCCCCGGUACAGUGGCGCACGGGUGAGUAACACGUAGAUGACCUUCCCUGGAGUGGUGGAUAACCUGCCGAAAGGCGGGCUAAUACAGCAUGGGACCACAUGGUUUUGACCGAGUGGUGAAAGCGGGCCUCUGUUCACAAGCUCGCGCUCUGGGAUGGGUCUGCGUCCCAUCAGCUAGUUGGUGAGGUAAUGGCUCACCAAGGCAUCGACGGGUAGCUGGUCUGAGAGGAUGACCAGCCACACUGGAACUGAGACACGGUCCAGACUCCUACGGGAGGCAGCAGUGGGGGAUCUUGCGCAAUGGGCGAAAGCCUGACGCAGCGACGCCGCGUGGGUGAUGAAGGCCUUCGGGUUGUAAAGCCCUGUGGGGAGGAACGAACCGUACGGGGGCGAACACCCUCCGUACCUGACGGUACCUCCUUAGCAAGCAUCGGCUAACUCUGUG
rnacentral:rRNA from 1 species